UAGACAGAACUGUGGGAUCCACAUGGUGA
rnacentral:piRNA from 1 species